GCGCUUUUUCCCAUCGCGCAACGGACUUAAAAUCCGUUGAUCGAAAGGUCGUCCCGGUUCGAGUCCGGGCGCGGGCACCA
rnacentral:tRNA from 1 species